AUGCGCCCGCCCAGGCCGGGGAAGGUGGCUGCCUUUGGGAAGCGGGAACUUGUAGGAAGAGCCGCGGUGCGGUUCAGAGCGCCUUGGCUGGACUCCGUGCGCCCUGCGCUACCCUAUCGCCUCCCACGGACAGAGACGGCUCCUCUGGUUGCCUGGGUGACUGAGGCGGGAGGCUGGUGGCUAGCAGUCAUGCGGAGGACCUGGUCCCCAUACUGCCAUGUGCCUACAUGCAGGACUGGGUCUAUCGUGUAUUCCUAGCUCUUGGGUUUUUUGUUGUUGCUGUUUUCUCCCCGUAGCUCUUUUGAAUUGCCAGCAGUGCCUAAAACAUGUUUGUUCUCUUUCUUGCAGAUUAAGACAUUUGUUCCAUGCAUCCAAUAAGAGUGUGUUCCUCGGUGGGAUUUUGAUAGUGGCUUGCAUAUCCCAGGAAACUCUUGUAGUGCAUCAGCGAAUUCACACAAGCAGAAGUCCUAUGAAUGUGGUGAAUAUGGGAAAACUUUUCUCAACUCACCUCUAGGCUAUCAGAGAAUUCACGUGGGAAAACCAAAUGAAUGUGGGAAAGCUUAUGCUGGUAACUCAAGAUCCAAGGUUCAUCACAGAAAUCACAUUGGAGAGAUCCUGUCAAUGUAAUGAAUGUGAGAAAAUUUUGUCCAAGGCAGGUCUGUAUCUGAACCUGCUCAGAGGAGAAACUCUAUGAAUGUAACAGAUGUGGAAAAAUGUGAAAACUGUGGGAAAACUGUUGUCCAAAAGGCAGCUGUCAGAAUGAUCAGAGCAGAAUGCAUGCCAGAGAGAUAACUCAUCUUGAUGCAAUGGUGGCAAAACUGUCAUGAGUGUUAUUUUUUUUCAAAUUUUUUUUGUCUUUUUCUUUUUUAUCGGUACCAGGAAUCAAACUCACGACUGCCUGCUUGCAAGGCAGGUGCUUAUGCCGCUGAGCUAAAUCCCCAGCCCCUGAGUGUUAUUUUUUUAAAGAGAAAUAUGUUGCUGUAGUUGUUUUUUCUAAACUAAGACAUCAGUAUUCAGGUUUAAGAGUAAUGUUUGCACUUUGUGGUAAGUAAAUGGGCUUGGGGUGGCAGUUUGAGCACUCAUUCCUAAAAGUUCACCAUCGCAUAACACUGGUUAAACUUGCAUCAUAUUCAGCUAAUGGUUUGUUCAGCAUAAAGGAAGUAAAAUCAGUUUCGAAACCUUGACCACAAAAAAAUUCUCUUAUCCCUAGGCAUGUUGCUUUCUCCAAGUUUAAUCUGACAGUGAACAUGAGUCAGAUGACUUUUUUGUAAACAUUUUACUAGUCCCUGUAUCUUGUUUAUAUUAUAGGAAGGAAUACUGAGGAACUAAAUGAUGGCAUAUGUUUGUUUAGCAGUCAUUGGAGAAUAAUUUCUUUGAAGCUACAUGGUUAUCAAUUUUGUGACAUCUGCCAAAAAGAGCCAAGAAUAAGAGCCACCUUGAUAAGAGUUUUGUCACAUCAUCAAGCUGAAACACCAAGGACUGUCAUUAUACCUGGCAGGAAGGUGCCAGCAGCUCAGGGUAUAUUUUGGCCCCUCCUUGGUCUUGACAUCUUGGUACAACCUGAACAUAUGCCUCAGUACACAAAGAAAAAUGGAGGCCAAAGUACGUGCUUUUCUACAAUUUUCAGAAAAAAUGUAAAUGAAUUGACAAUCUGAAGUGUUAAUGAAAAUGUAAAAUUUUAUUAAAAGUUUAAAAAUUUGGAGUAAAAAACCCAAAAAGUAUAAUUGUUAUCAAAAAGAGAGGAAAGGAAGAUGGUCUAAGGGAUAUAACUGCAUGUAUGUUUGAGUGUGUAGGAUGGAAAUCUGUAUUACUGAACUGUUGUUGGAUCAUUGAUCGGCAUUGUGUGCAAUCUCAUUGUAUGAAUGUUCACUUUACAUGCUUUAAUUUUAUAAUUUGAACAACUAUUUCAAAGAUGACAAUAUGUAACCUAUUAACUAGUGAUCUUACUGUAUUUUUUCCUUGAAAUUCUGUAUUAUUUGUACUCUUUUACUGCUGUUUUAUUUCCUUUCUUUUUUUUUUCUCUCUUUAAAUAAUAAAAAAAGAAAAAAGUUUAAAAA